rnacentral:rRNA from 1 species
CGAACGGGUGAGUAACGCGUGAGGAACCUGCCUCAAAGAGGGGGACAACAGUUGGAAACGACUGCUAAUACCGCAUAAGCCCACAGGUCGGCAUCGACCAGAGGGAAAAGGAGCAAUCCGCUUUGAGAUGGCCUCGCGUCCGAUUAGCUAGUUGGUGAGGUAACGGCGCACCAAGGCAACGAUCGGUAGCCGGACUGAGAGGUUGAACGGCCACAUUGGGACUGAGACACGGCCCAA